rnacentral:misc_RNA from 1 species
AGAGUACAUAAGAGCUUAUUCGGCAUUAUAAUGGAGAGGGGGGAGUUUUUUGUGGAUGAUAUCACGUGCUUUGCACAUGGCCUCCAGUGGCUCAGCCUUGGGCAUGGAGAGUCCGGUCCCUUCAGUCAUGUCAAUUUCCUUGUCACUCACCUUCUUCCACUCAAAACACUGAAUCAUAGAGCCCAAAGCAAACCCUAAAACCCUGUUGGCAAGACCCAUCCCUGGACAGGCCCUCCUGCCAAGUCCGAAUGGCAAGAACUGGCAGCUAUAGCCCUCAGCUUGACCAUUCUCAAACCUCUCGGGCUUAAAUUUCAAAGCAUCAUCCCACAUUUGAGAGUCUCUGUGUAUAGCCCAUGCAUUGACAAGUAGCAUUGUAUUUUUUGGCACAACAUAUCCUCCAAUGCUACACUCAUUGUUUGAAAGAUGUGGCAGAAGCAAUGGAGCUGCUGGGCACAACCGAAGAGUCUCUAAUAUUAUAUUCUGAAGAAAGGGUAGCUUGGAAAUAUCAGGUUCAUCUAUCAGGGUUUCUUGACCAAUUUGAAAGUCCAAUUCACUUUUGGCCUUCUCUAGCACUUGAGGAUGAUUGAGCAAAUUUGACAUUGCCCAUUCUAAUGUGACUGCUGUUGUGUCCGUGCCAGAAGAUAUCAUGUUCAUUAUAAGGCCCUUGAUAAUUUCAUCUGUAUAAUAUUCUGGCUGUGAUUCUUGCAAAGAAAGCAGAUGGCUGAUCAUUGUAUUACCAGCCUUAUCAUUUCUUUGCCCAUCAAUAAGACCUUGCAACAACACAUCAGUUCUUUUACUAAGUACCUUCAAUUUCUUCAAAGAACCUUGAUAAUCAAUCCACUGCAAAAUAGGCAAGAAAUCUCCAGGAUAUGAAGUCUCUGCAAAUUUGAAAACCUCUCUUAUAAUCUCC